rnacentral:ncRNA from 1 species
AUAAAAGUGAGGACGGAAAAAAGUAAAUGUAUACUUGCUAUGCAGAGAACUGGUGGUUGGUGCAAAUCAGUUAGCGGUAUAGAUUGAAGUUCAUUCCUGAACUGCAAAGCUGAAAAUACAAGUAGGCUGAGCCGGUGUGGCUGUCGUUAUUUGGCUAUGAGUUGAUCUGAUUCGAGAUUAUAAGGGUGGUACCGCGGAACUUUCCGUCCCUUGC